GAUGAACGCUGGCGGCGUGCCUAAUACAUGCAAGUCGAGCGAACAGAUAAGGAGCUUGCUCCUUUGACGUUAGCGGCGGACGGGUGAGUAACACGUGGGUAACCUACCUAUAAGACUGGGAUAACUUCGGGAAACCGGAGCUAAUACCGGAUAAUAUUUCGAACCGCAUGGUUCGAUAGUGAAAGAUGGUUUUGCUAUCACUUAUAGAUGGACCCGCGCCGUAUUAGCUAGUUGGUAAGGUAACGGCUUACCAAGGCGACGAUACGUAGCCGACCUGAGAGGGUGAUCGGCCACACUGGAACUGAGACACGGUCCAGACUCCUACGGGAGGCAGCAGUAGGGAAUCUUCCGCAAUGGGCGAAAGCCUGACGGAGCAACGCCGCGUGAGUGAUGAAGGUCUUCGGAUCGUAAAACUCUGUUAUUAGGGAAGAACAUACGUGUAAGUAACUGUGCACGUCUCGACGGUACCUAAUCAGAAAGCCACGGCUAACUACGUG
rnacentral:rRNA from 1 species